rfam:Oryctolagus cuniculus chromosome 13, whole genome shotgun sequence.
GGCGCUGUGGCACAGCAGGUUAAUGCCCUGGCCUGAAGCGCCGGCAUCCCAUAUGGGUCCCGGUUCUAGUCCUGGCUGCUCCG